AAGAACACAUAAUAAUUCACGGUCUCAUUCCUCCUACUCCUAGAAAACUAAUUGCACAGCAUGUUAAUAAGGUAAAUUUAGCGACAAGAUACUUUAAGAAAGGCAAUAAAGAUAGGGCUUCAAUAUUUCAGAAUUCGGAUCUCAGAAGCAUAUAAAAUCAAACAACAACAACAACAACAUACCAAGUACAAUCCCACAGGUGGGAUCUGGGGAGGCUGCGAUGGUUUGGGCAUGUGUGGAGGAGAGACAUAGAUGCCCCAGUCAGGAGGUGUGAGAGGUUGAACAUGGCAGGCUUGAGGAAAGGCAGGGGUAGAGAUGCCCCGAGGAGGGUAGUGAGUACGCAGACCUUACCCCUACCUGGAGAGGCUGUUUCCAGUAGACCCUCGGCUCAAGAAAAGAUGGCAAGGAAGAAAAGGCAUGGAGUAGAACAAAAGAGUCGAGCCAGAAAGAGAAAUUUGAACACAGAAGCUUCUACUACUUAAAUCCACAAGGAUGCUCUUAAAUUUUUCAUGUCUUACUUUACAUCAGAUGUGUGUGUAUGAAAAUGCAUGCAGUGUGCUUCAGUAAUUUUGUCUUUUUGUCUUUUUA